rnacentral:tRNA from 1 species
UCUCUGGUAGUAUAUCGGAUAGUACACCCGCCUGUCACAGCUGCUGCGCGCGGGAGAGCGGGGUUCGACUCCCCGCCAGAGAG